GGAGCCACUGCCGCUGCUAUGGUUAAGGAAUGCACGCCCGCGGUACGUCUCGAUAACGUCGUAUAACGCAGCCUUGGGAGCGCUGCGUCCUCAAGCCCCCGGAUUAAGAAAAUGGACAAAACGCAGAACACAAAGGGAAGAGAAGAGACUGACUGGCAGCUCCAUGAAGGAACGUGUAUUCGUGAAUCCACCAACGUGACGUGAUACAUCCCUCCCAUCAUA